GACGAACGCUGGCGGCGUGCCUAAUACAUGCAAGUAGAACGCUGAAGGAGGAGCUUGCUUCUCUGGAUGAGUUGCGAACGGGUGAGUAACGCGUAGGUAACCUGCCUGGUAGCGGGGGAUAACUAUUGGAAACGAUAGCUAAUACCGCAUAAUAGUAGAUGUUGCAUGACAUUUGCUUAAAAGGUGCAAUUGCAUCACUACCAGAUGGAUCUGCGUUGUAUUAGCUAGUUGGUGGGGUAACGGCUCACCAAGGCGACGAUACAUAGCCGACCUGAGAGGGGGGUCGGCCACACUGGGACUGAGACACGGCCCAGACUCCUACGGGAGGCAGCAGUAGGGAAUCUUCGGCAAUGGACGGAAGUCUGACCGAGCAACGCCGCGUGAGUGAAGAAGGUUUUCGGAUCGUAAAGCUCUGUUGUAAGAGAAGAACGAGUGUGAGAGUGGAAAGUUUACACUGUGACGGUAUCUUACCAGAAAGGGACGGCUAACUACGUG
rnacentral:rRNA from 1 species